rnacentral:rRNA from 1 species
UACGAAGGGGGCUAGCGUUGCUCGGAAUGACUGGGCGUAAAGGGUGCGUAGGCGGCGAGAUAAGUCAGGCGUGAAAUUCCCGGGCUCAACCUGGGGACUGCGUUUGAGACUGUUUGGCUAGAGGAUGGAAGAGGCUCGUGGAAUUCCCAGUGUAGAGGUGAAAUUCGUAGAUAUUGGGAAGAACACCGGUGGCGAAGGCGGCGAGCUGGUCCAUUACUGACGCUGAGGCACGAUAGCGUGGGGAGCAAACAGG